GUGAAUUUUGACGAUAUACGUCCUUUUUCUUCACUAGCUGAGCAGCCAUAGAGAUUGACUGUUACCGAUUGACUAGCAAAAAUAAUUUAAAAUUUUUAAUGAAUCAAAAAGAAAAAUGUUCACAAACACUUAAAUUAGAAGGAAGGUAAUUGACCUUGGAGAAUUUUAAUCCCAAAUGAAGCAUGGAUUUUAUUCUCGAAUCCAUCCUGCCAAAAGAUAUCCCCAAAACUAGCGACUUCUCCGUUCUCUAAAUUCUGCUUCCAAGGCAAUGUUCUCUAGCAACUGCCAAGUCUUCUUUUCUGCCUUGGCACGAGUGUAUGUGAUGGGUUUUUACCCACAACAGACCACCUUCUUUUUCAAUCCACAUAAAGCUAUAAAUAAUAUUUGCCUUAAUAAAGCAUGAUCAAGCUAAACUACCUAUUCACUUGCACCAAUCAUGGUCUACUCAUUACAGUGACCCAUACUCCAAAACAAUUUAUCAGCAACCAUAUAAAAUGAUCUCUAGGUCUAGGAUCAGAUGUGUAGUUACAUGAACACAGAAGACGCUAGUCUAAAAAUUUACACGCACUUUUCAUCACCUCUACACCUGAAGCACAAACGUUACUACUUUCAUGGUCAGCUGCGCCUACAUACUCACAUGUACAAGCAAGACUACUGAAUGAGGCACACAAGAGCAUCAGACCAAUUUCCAAGGGGCACUAGCUAUUUUUUCAAAAUUAUACCGGGAAUCUUUAAUUUGUACGUUUACAGAAUCCAUGUGCGACUGCAACCUGGUAAUCUCAAGAUCCUUGCUCUCCAUCUUUGACUUAGAUGCAACAAGUUCUUCUUGCAACUCAAGUACCUUCUUUUCGAUAUCAUUUAUCUUUGCUUCCAAUUUGCUUCUCUCAUCAGUAUGCUCCAUUAUCUGCCUUCCAACAUCUUUUGAUUCAUUCAGAAGCUCUUCUUUCCCAUAUUUAAUUGAUAGCAAUUCAUUCACACGGUCUCGUAGCAUGGUUACAUCAAAUCCAUGCAUCUCCAAAUCAGAAAGACUUUCCAAUGUACUCUCCAAUAUGCUUUUAGAAUCAUCAAAUUGCAGUGAUGUUAUCUUCUCAAACAAACUGGCAAAGGUUACCAUAAUACCAAUGGCUGAUCCUUCACGGUACUCCUCUUUACUAUCAGCCAAAGGUUGAAAAUGAGGCUUUUGUGGCAUGAUUUGAAAUACUUCCAUAGAUUCAAUUGUUUUCCAAACCGGUGACCUCUUUACAAAAGGCAAGCACUGAUUUCCAUUGGGUGCAGUGUCACCUUGUGCAUCAAUCACAGAAGAUACAAUUGCUAGAUCAACAUGUCUUCCUCUCGCCUCAUUCCAUCCAUUAGAAGGCCUUCCAGAAGAUAAUCCUGAGCACACAACAAACAGUAAAACAAAUAGCUAUAACAGAGUUUAUUCAAAGGGACUUGAGCACUUACGCAAUUCUUCAGCACUUGCAGAAGAAUGCAUCCCCCCAAUCCACGUUGAUAGAGGUUGAUCAUCAUCAGCAACAUUCUUUGAUACAGAGGGAAUGGCCAUUUCAACUUCUUUUGCCAUGCAAUCUGUCUCUGAAACUUCAGCUGUUUUCUCUCUAGAAGCAGCUUGAGAAACUGUAGACUCCACCCUUGUCUGUAUUGGCAUUUCAACUUCUUUAGAUGUGUGAUCUUUUACAACUACUUCAUUAGAAACAUCUUGAAUGCCAUGGUCCUCCUUACCUACAACAUGUAGUAUGUGUUUGUGUAUCUUAAAAUAAAUACAAAGUACCCAGCUAAUGAUUGUGUUUGAAGUUUUCAUGUACCAGCCUCUGAAGUCUUUAGGCUAACAACUACUAGUUUGCGUGGUCUUCCCCUCUUUCUCCGUUGACUGCUUCCUACAUAUUUAUGCUGAUUGAGUCCCUGAAGAAGAACAAACAACUAUUGAAAGAUGACACUAUCUAAUCAAGGAACAAACAAAAUCAGAUGGUAGUGUUCAAGUUUACAAUGACUGACAGGAUAGAGAAAAAGCAGGGGAAGGCAUUCCUCAUCAAAUUGAGAAGUGAGCAAAUAAAUAACAAGAAACUGGCUAUCUUGACAUUUGCAAAAAUAUCGCCUGCAUUUCUGGAAUCUUUAAACAACUUAAACACAUUCUUUUUUACACUCAGUGGCAAUGAAAUAACCAAUAACUCCAUUGAUCAUUCUCCUUUUCCCCAAAAUUUACUUUAGUUUUUCCUUGUCAAAUUGCAUGGCCAUCUACUUUGAUUAGAAAAAUGCUUUCUUCAAAGCUUUUUUCUAUGGUAUGGGUGCUAAAGUAAGAGGCCAUUACCUCAACCAUUUAAGCGCACCAUAGGCUUACAGUUUUAAGAUUGAAACAGAAUUCCAUGUAUAUAUAAUCCGCUUAACGAGCGUAUUAAUCUAACAUUUUUGCAUGAAGGUAUAUAAAGCAAUUAAUAAGGAUGUUCCUCUGUCAAUGUUCAUAGAAAGUUAAGGUGAUAGAUUAGAAACCUAAAAAAGUGAUGAAUAAUAAAUGGUCUUAUUGAAUAUUAACAUUUUCCAAAAAAACUAAGCAAUUUCACUGUCAUUAGAUAUUACUACUCUACAAUCUCUUUAAAUGGUAGAUGUUUUCAACUUCAACAACGUAUCAUGGCAGUUCCGUUUGUUCUUUCCCUAAAAACAAACCUUGACUAUCUAAAAUAGGGAUGUGCAAAGUGAAUAUGCUUACCAUGAUCUUGCCUCCUACUGAAUCACUUAAAUUCUUCUUCUGAUCUCUCAUAAGCUUGAGUGUUUCCUCACCAGAGAGCUGAGAAGGACAAUCAUGUUGUGAAUGCCUCAUUUCCCUAGCUUCUAAUGCUAUGACAACAGGUAUUCCAUCUUUCAUUUUAUCCUCAAUUUCAUUUUUGUUUUGAAUGGCAACAUCCACUGCUGCUGAAACCUGUGGACUUCUAAAUGGUGAUUUAGUAAGUCUACCUUUCCUUGUCACAAUGUCCACUUUCUGACCAUCUAAUUCAGCAAAUUUCAGCCGCUUACUCUUCUUUGGUAGCUCUUUAAUACGAAUAAGGCCUCCAUUAGCUUUAGGAACAACUGCUCUCUUUCCUGUAGGGCUCUCGGUUUUUGCAGCAGUCUGAUCACCAAUCAUGGGUUUUUUGGAGUAUCUGGUUCUUUUGCCUCCAGUUCUUGGAGUUACUAAACCUCGAAGAGUUUCUCCAGUUGAUAUUUCAAUUGGCAUCUUCAUUAAUGGCAAUGUUGUAACUGAUAACGGGACAUCUACAGCAUCUUCUAUUGUUGACUUUUUGGAAGGACACGAAUGCAGACCAGUACCAUUAGGAGCUGCCAGCUUUACCUUCUUGCUUGGAGGCAACAUAUGAGAAGGUGAUUUUUCAUUACAAUGAGCUGACUGCUCCAUCAUAUUCCUUAUGCUUGAGGAACAAGGUGAUUUAUCUUCAUUCUUACCCUCAAUAGCACCCAACUCUUCACCUUUCAUGGACAUAUCAGGACUGUCAAUGCAGUUGUGGGCAUUACCCAACAGUUUGUUAUUAUUAGAAGCAAUCAUGACUUCCUUUGAUUUACAAAUCCACUGGCCAUCCUUCCAUUCCACAUGAGGCCUUAUUUCUGAGUAAUUAAGCUCCUUGUCCUCAUUACCCUGCUUAAAAAAGACAUUGUACCUCCUCCCAGAAAGAAGUUUAGUAAUCACACCAGCCCGCCAUCCAAAGUCAUAUUGUGCAUCCACCUUUUCCAGUAACUCAAAGUUUCUGUCUGCAUAACGAGGAGGAAUGGGUCGAAUGUGGAGGGAAUCCACAAUAACUUUUGUCCCAGCUUCAUCACUAUUCUUUGAGCUUUGAUACUUCACCAAGAAAGUGUUAUCCCCAUUAUCCUUAAUAACAACUGCAGGGAACCAAGCAUCACGUACAUUUUCUUUGUCAAUAUUCACCUCUACUGCCGUUCCUGAGCUGAAAGCUGACCCGGCCAUUUGCUGCUUCUCGGGUGCAACCCAGUUAGCAUCAACCCAUUUCCAGUGAGUCCUCAAAUCUUUCCCAUCAAAGUCAAUAACAUCCGGUGGGUUAUCAAAAUAAACCCUAUACCUAGAACGCUCUAAAACCUUCCUUACAACGCCAGUCCACCACCCGUCUCUGUACCUGGCAUCAACGACGUCGUUCUCCUGAAAAACCCGGUCACCAGAAUGUGAAUCAUCUGGAGGCAGAGGCCUUAUGUACCCGGGAUCCACAAGCUCCUUCAGAGGAGCGGAGCCAUAUUCCAUAACCAAAGUCUUGUACUCAACCAUUACUUUUUUCCUCUUCUUGGAAGCGGAUUUGGAUGGGGACUCCAAAAUUGUGGCCACGUACCAUGCGCCCCUAAACCCAUCAUCGUCGCUACUCACUUCCACCUCUUGGCCUUUGUUGAAGAUGAGGCUAGAUUGGGCGCUGUUCUGGGGAUUUUGGAGCUGAGCAGAGUCCAAUCCCGUCAUAAUUUUUGAAUUUUGAGUGAGUAAAGCAGAAAACCCUAAUUUGUGCUUUCUUUUUUU
rnacentral:misc_RNA from 1 species